UCUUCCUCUCACUCCUCUCCGUCUGUUCAACACUUUUAAACCGCAUCGAGUCAAAGCUGUUGUUGUUCUUCCUCACUGCUCGACCCACAUACAGAGACGCUGAAGCAGCUCCCCCGCAGGCCUGGUCCACAGAAAGUAACACGACGUUCUCAGAGGCGGAGUCCUGCACGAUCAGCCUGCAGAACCCUGCAUCACUGUCUGUGGUUUGCUCGUUUGUCGUGAUGCUUUCAUUUCUUUGCACUGUUGUCUAAUUAUUGAUGCAAGUCUUGAACAUUCAGAGAAAAAUUUUGAUUAUUAUUAUUUUUCUGAUUUGCUAACUUUUGCACGUGUGCUUGACAUGUAAAUACUUAAAAAAAACAUUGCGAGUAUUGUCAAGUUUUUAAAUAAUUAAUGUUAAAAAAGUGUAACCUGUUCAUGUUAUGCUUUUUUUUUAAAGAUCACUGUUAGAUCAGUGGUUUACAUAUAUAUAUAUAUAUAUAUAUAUAUAUAUAUAUAUAUAUAUAUAUAUAUGCAGAUGCAAGGGAAAUUUGAGUGUUCAGCCGCUUACAUAUAAUAGCAAGAAGACAAGACAGGCAGGUUAGUAACAUUAGCAUUAGAAGUUAGUAUAUACUCUGAAAAACUUUCUGCACAAUACUAUAAAACAACACUUCUAAUUUUAAAAUCUAUAGAAAUACUAAGUGUAUUAAAGCUCAAUAUACAGUAUUGACACAGUUGGAGGCACCAUGAUUUAACCCUGUAAGACCCAAAUAUAGGAAAAAAGUGUGUGUGUGUAUGAAAAUUUGCAAAAAAAAUUUAAAAAAUAAAACUUAUGUUGUACUUCUGCAGCAGUGGGUUUUACAGGUUUAAAGUGACUUUGACUCACUGACCCUUUUAAAAGGAAACCUAUCUACUUCUGUGUCAUUACAGAACACAAACUGAGUAGUUAAAUGAUUUUUU